UAUUUGGAAAGGGAACAAAAAAUGGAAUGGAAAAAUUUCAAGGAUAAAACAAUGAAAAACUCCUUGUAUUAUAAUGGAAUUAUUCCAGGCUUUGGAAAAUGGGACCAUUGCUGGACCAGCAUUCCUAGGAAUCUCAAGGAUACUCUAAUCAGUUAUUAAAACUGCCAACUCAUAAGAAA